UGAGUACACAUGCUUGACUGACUUCAACAGAUAUUCAAACCAGUAUAAAGUUACUACAUUUGUUACAAGCAAACCAAGGUCCAAUCAUUUGUUACACAGAAUCAAGUAAAGGGGAAACCCGUUGUUCCUCCAACGCAUCAAACGGCCAACAACCCCGUACACAACUAUUAGUCAAGCUGACACUAAGCAUUUAAAAUUUCACCAACGCUCAAACUAAACAACCUCAAUAUUUUACACAUCCUACUCCUACACCAUGGCAUCGAGCAAAUUAAAUUCUGAGUACCCACAAUAAUCGAUUUUUAUUCACCCUUUCGAGCAAUGAAACCCACCAAAAUCACAAAAAUCCAUCAAAACCCAAUUCAAUUACCAAUGACACGACAACAACCCCAAUCGAAGUCCACCAUAUUCCAGCACAAUCCCACCACACCCAAUACCCAAAUCUCCCCAAAACCCCAAAUCGACCAAUACUCGCCAAAUUAACGAAAACCCCUCUAAAUCGACCCAAAAACAAUCCAAACACCGAUAAAUACACCAAAAACAAGACGAAAAAAAGGGGAGAAAGGCCGAAAUCUUACAUUGCUUCCCUUCCAAACUUGAUAGACUCGUUGUGCCAUGAAGAACCAAACCCACUGCGACUACGCCGGAAGGGAAUCGAAGACAUCGAACUCGCUCAUCCUCCUCGAGCCCUCGAAAUCGAUGACAAAAGCAGCAGGAAAAGAUAUUAAAGGUUAGAUUUUGCAGCGCUUUUUGGUCUUCCCUUCUGAAAUAAGUUGAGAACGAAAUGAUUUUUUCCCCCCUUUUCUUCCCUCCUCCCCUUUUUCUUUGUUUUUCUUGGCUUCGAUAUUCGAUCGAAGGCUGUUGAAAGCUGAGGUAGAGUGAGGUGUAAAACAGGGUCUUUUCAGAAGAAAAAAAGAAGGGAGAAUACUCUCUCUCUCUCUUCUCCCUCUAUUUUUAUUUCUCUCUCUUGCCCUCGGUGGUUUAAUCGGGGCUAUACCGGCCUGUUACGCAACUAGAAAAAAAAAAAAAAGGGGAGGUUUUUAAUAGGGUGGGAUCCAGCCAAGAGCAAGGACAGUGGUUGUAUCUUUCACCCGAAUGAAAGAUUUACCUUCCUUCGCAAGAAUCCACCGUUGGAUCAUGCAACAGGAUUGUGUGGAUGCUUUGCGAUCGGUGCAAGAAUCGAUCCAACGUUCUAUGUUGCGAUAGAAGAUAAUCGUUGGUUUGCGCAAAGGAUAC
rnacentral:lncRNA from 1 species